rnacentral:lncRNA from 1 species
CGAAAGCAGCCGCUAUUACUGGAACCCUAAACAAGAGCAUCCCGGGUUUCUUUCAGUCGAUUGCAGUCAAUACCGAAGGCGACCAAGUAGGGCUGGUGUAGACCUCUGCGACAGCGCCCCUUCCACUAACCAUUGUCCUGUGACUAUUGAGGCCAGUGUGUGGCUGAAAAGGAAACGAGAAAGCCAGGAAAGUAAUCUCUGGCAGAGGAGCGCCAUGCAGCUUGUGGUCCAGCCCGGAGAUAUCUGCUUAUCUCGCUGGCUUUUUCUGUGCGCCUAGGUUUGUGUUCCAAUGGGUGGCACACCUCCCUAGAGAAAGUCUGGCGCAUGUGCAGCUAAGUGGCUCAGAUGAUAGAGAAUGAGACCCAGAGAGGGGAGGUCCUGGGUUCAAAUAUGAAUUCAGACACUUCCCAGCUGUGUGACCCUGGGCAAGUCACUUAACCCCCACUGCCUAGCCCUUACCACUCUUCUGCCUUGGAAGCACCACUUGGGAUUGAUUCUAAAACGGAAGGGAAUUCUUGGUGUUGAAGACUUAAAAGGAGAACUUGGGAGUUUUUAGCUGUGACCUACAUGAAGCUCCUCCUGAGGAAAGAGCUGAGUUAUCCAAGUCUAGUGGCAAGACAAAUUCAAAACAACUGGUGAUGACUCAGGAUGCAGUGGAUGACCUUGGUUCUUUGAUCUCCAACCAAACUCUAUGAUGACUAAGUGCAACCUACUUCAGCUGCUUUUGUGGACUUUGGAACAAAUCAUUCUUAUCUACCUUUUCCCCUGGGAAAAGUUUACUUAUGUCCUAACUCACCAAAGAGUUUGAGAUCUGUCAGAUCCCCUCCACUCAACUAAGGCAACCUGCCAAGAUGGUUUUACUGGGAUGUUGCUGCUGUGCGUGCUACAACUUCUUGGAGUCACACGUGAGAGUUGGACGACAGGUGAAUACAAAAGGCCUCCGUUUCUUCAUCUGUAAAAUGAGGAGUACAUUUCUUAUGAAGAGAGAAUGAACUCGGAGUAGAGGUUGAAUCUUUUUGGGGGGACAUGGCCAAUGUGGUAAUUUGUUUUCCUUAACAAUAUGUUUGUAACAUAUGAUUUGUAUUUCUUACUUUGUUAGUAUAGAGGAGAGGAAGAGAAUACAGAUCUGAAAAUGAAAUUAAAUAAAUUUUUAAAAAUUAAAUAAGAAUAUAACUAA